AACGAUUCCUAAUACACGUGCAACUGUAGUAAUUGGUAGUUUGGUAACAUUUGGUAUAGAACUCCUCGGCAAAUGUCAUAAACUAGCGGGAGAUUUACUCUGCCAUUGCGUUGAGUACUGCAGAAAACGACAUAACCAGACAUCACGCAGAACUCCAAUGAAUAUGUUACAUCCUCAUGUGCGCUCCUCCACGGCCCCUACCACCAUAGUUAUUAAACCCCCUUCCCCAACCAUAGCCAUAUGCACCACGGUGCCCACCAUUUCCAGGCCCAUAGCCAUAUGCACCACGGUGCCCACCAUUUCCAGGC
rnacentral:misc_RNA from 1 species